UCAACACCACGAGGGCUCGACCUCGCUGGCACCAACCGCGAAUCGCCGAGCCCCUAGAUCCCCAAAGUCUCACCGCCUCUUUGUGAUUUCCGGCGACCACGGCAGCCAUGUCCGCCGAUCUGCCACCUCCCUUCCCCCAUAUGGUAAGUAUUAAAUGUUUGACUAUUUUAAAUAUAGAAUGAUUAUUACUCCCUCCGUCCACGAAAUGAGUACUCAUAUUUCCAUUUUCGUCCGUCCACGAAAUGAGUACCCAUUUCCCUUUUUGGCAAGUGUACCCCACACAACACUUUAAUUAAUACACUCAAAAAGGUGGGACCUCUAUUCUAUUCACACUACACUAAAUACAUUUCUUAAAACCCGUGCCGUCCACAAAUGGGUACUCAUUUCGUGGACGGAGGGAGUAUUUUAGAAAGAACAAAUUUUGGAAAGAUUUUUAACAAUGGAAACAUAAACCCUAGAUUUUUAUGUUAAUUAAUUUUCGGUAGCUGCAAAUUAUGUAAAUAUAGAAUGGCAAUAAACUUUAGAAAGAAUUUUUUUUGGAAACAAUUUUAUCAAAGGAAACUUAAACCCUAGAUUUUCAUCUAUAAAUUCAUUAAUUUGAAUUAUUAAAGAUGCAGCAGACGCAAGGUAACCUUCUUCUUCUUCUUCUUCUUCUUUUGUUGUCUUUCUUUUGUUUUGCAUUAACGCCGCAAUACCUCCUUCUUCUUUUUCUUCUUUUUUCCAGAUUUUUGGUUUAGAGGAUUAAGGGAUUGCUUACUUCCCUUAUUUUGGCGGGUGGCGGCUGGAAAUUUUUUAGACAUUAUCAUAGACAAACAGGAAGAAAUUAUCAUUAUAUGACCAAGGUUUGUGAUUUGAUAAAGAUCAUCGAUUCAUCACUCAAAUAAAUAUGAAUAAUUGUGCAGGGAAAACAUAGCUGAUAAUGCUAAUCUUGAUUGUUUUGUAUAUAAUUGAGGUGGCUUGAUCUUGAUGGGUUGGUGCUAUGAAGAAUCAAAUUAACUGAUUAUAGUUUAAAUUUCUUUUUAUGGAGUAAAUCAAUAUUUGAUUUAACAAAUUUAAACAUGAUCACAACCUUUUUAAACAUGAUCCUCUUUCGGCAUUGAACACCAGAUGAUCGUAUGGGAAUCAAUGAUUGCAUUCGAAUGAUGUAUUUUCAUUCACAUGAAUUGUUUUUGGAUAGAGGCUAGGAAGAGCCCUAAGUCAUUGUUUACUUUUUUUUCCCCUUGCUUUUUUCAUUCUUUCUUAUUAGAGACGAUUGGUAUUCAUUUAAUUGUUUCUUUGUAUGUUUUCUUGUGUUGCAGGAUUUUUUGUUUCCCAGUUCUCUAUCACAAUCUCUGUUUGCAUGACUGAAGUAAGUGUUGAUUCUCUGGUUAGUCCCGAAAAAGAUAAAUUGAACGAUGGGAAAAUAAAUGAUAAAAUGAAGGUUCUGCUGGGAAUCAGGAUUCUCUGAGUAAUGGGCUAUGAAAAUUUUAUUGCGGUAUGUCUGCAUUUCUUGGUAAACAAUGAAGUUUAGAUAUUAUAAUCUGUGGAUAGUUUGGAUUCAUUGGGAUAUUUAUGCUAUAGUAGGAAGUAUGGAUUUUUCUGAUAUCUUUCUUAUAAAAUUAUGCAUCUGUUUAUGGUUUGAAAGAUUUGAUGUGUGCAAAUCCUUGAAUGAGUCUUAAAUUUUAGAUUAGUCUUUAUGUUUCUAAUAGUUUUUACAUGUUUUUUUGGCUUAUAUGUUUGAGAAAAUUGUUGCAUUACCUGCAGAGAAACAACUUUUUGGAAGAGGGAUUUGAGUUCUGUUUCGAAGUCAUUAAAAUCCAGAUGGUGUUUGUUCAGGAUUCAAGAUUUGUUGAAGGAUGGUGAUGAGGGGUUGAAGAUUGUAGGCCAUUUUUCUGUUCACUCACAAAGGAUAGGAAAAUUUGUAGCAACAAUGAUCCAAUCUGUAUAGCUAGGUAGUUGUAGUAUUGACUUUGAGCAAAUUAAACAAAACUGUUAUUAUAAAAUAUUGAUUAGGUUGUAGUUUGAACUAUAUGCCUUGAAUCCGUCCUAGAUUCAAUUAACACUAAAUUAUUUAUCUAAAUUAUUCUCUUUUUAGAGAGGUAUUUAAAUUA
rnacentral:lncRNA from 1 species